GCAGAGGAAAGUGGCGGACGGGUGAGUAACGCGUGAGGAACCUGCCUUGAAGAGGGGGACAACAGUUGGAAACGACUGCUAAUACCGCAUGACGCAUAGAGGUCGCAUGAUCUUUAUGCCAAAGAUUUAUCGCUUCAAGAUGGCCUCGCGUCUGAUUAGCUGGUUGGCGGGGUAACGGCCCACCAAGGCGACGAUCAGUAGCCGGACUGAGAGGUUGAACGGCCACAUUGGGACUGAGAUACGGCCCAGACUCCUACGGGAGGCAGCAGUGGGGAAUAUUGGGCAAUGGGCGCAAGCCUGACCCAGCAACGCCGCGUGAAGGAAGAAGGCUUUCGG
rnacentral:rRNA from 1 species